rnacentral:rRNA from 1 species
AACGCCAAGAACCUUACCAAGUCUUGACAUCCUGCUGACCGGUGAGUAAUGUCACCUUUCCUUCGGGACAGCAGAGACAGGUGGUGCACGGUUGUCGUCAGCUCGUGUCGUGAGAUGUUGGGUUAAGUCCCGCAACGAGCGCAACCCUUAUUGUCAGUAGCCAGCAUUUCGGAUGGGCACUCUGAUGAGACUGCCAGGGAUAACCCGGAGGAAGGUGGGGAUGACGUCAAAUCAUCAUGCCCCUUAUGACUUGGGCUACACACGUGCUACAAUGGCGUAAACGAAGGGAAGCGAGCCCGCGAGGGGGAGCAAAUCCCAAAAAUAACGUCCCAGUUCGGAUUGUAGUCUGCAACCCGACUACAUGAAGCUGGAAUCGCUAGUAAUCGCGGAUCAGCAUGCCGCGGUGAAUACGUUCCCGGGCCUUGUACACACCG